rnacentral:rRNA from 1 species
UAGGGAAUCUUCCGCAAUGGGCGAAAGCCUGACGGAGCAACGCCGCGUGAGUGAUGAAGGUCUUCGGAUCGUAAAACUCUGUUAUUAGGGAAGAACAAAUGUGUAAGUAACUAUGCACGUCUUGACGGUACCUAAUCAGAAAGCCACGGCUAACUACGUGCCAGCAGCCGCGGUAAUACGUAGGUGGCAAGCGUUAUCCGGAAUUAUUGGGCGUAAAGCGCGCGUAGGCGGUUUUUUAAGUCUGAUGUGAAAGCCCACGGCUCAACCGUGGAGGGUCAUUGGAAACUGGAAAACUUGAGUGCGGAAGAGGAAAGUGGAAUUCCAUGUGUAGCGGUGAAAUGCGCAGAGAUAUGGAAGAACACCAGUGGCGAAGGCGACUUUCUGGUCUGUAACUGACGCUGAUGUGCGAAAGCGUGGGGAUCAAACAGG